CACGAAGAGGAGGCGCCACCGGGACCACCGUCUACGCCAUCCAGUGAAUCCCAGGACGACUGAGAACACAAGGAGUCCCAUUCGGAGGACUUAAAAACACCGAACGCCGUGCCAAGAGGUAAACUUGGUAGUUAUCACUUUCCCUUCUGAUAUUUACUUUUUCUUAAAAACCUUGUUUAGUUAAUCAGGUUCAUACUAUCUUAAAAAGAAAAUAAAAAUGUUAAAAACAGUAAGCCCCAUGUGAGUAUGCUCAUGGCAUAAAACCCAUAAGUACAUUCAUUGUGGUGGCAAAAAAAAUAAUUUUUCCUGCUCUAUAAAAUGAAAAUAUAAAAUAGAGAGUAACACUUAUUGAGGAAGCUCAACAUGAUAAAGGCUAGGUAUUUAUGCUAAAACUUAACCAGUUCCACAAAGCUUUGUUGUCUAUUUGAGCUCCACAGAAUUCAAAGAAGACUAGC
rnacentral:lncRNA from 1 species